rnacentral:lncRNA from 1 species
AAGAAGGAUCAAAUCAAUCAUCAAAAGAUUUUCUCUAUAAGGAAGCUAGUAUCUUGGAGAGAUAGAUAAGUCUUAGAUCAGAUCGAAUCUCGUGUAGAUACCUGUAGAGGUCAGACGUUUGCGCAGCUCAGGAACCUAUCAAGUUUUUGAUCAUCGGCUGCGAAGCUCUUCCACCCACGAUAAGGUAUGAGAUCUGAUCUCAUAAAUUAAUUUUAGAUUUCAUAUAUCUUAGAUCCAUAUUAGGGAAGGUUUUAUAUCUAAUUUAAUGCAUGAUAAAAAUAGUUAAUCUAUUUUAUUCCACUACGAUUUCAAAACAGUUUUGAAAUACAUGCAUGUAAUCUGCCCUUCCCUUUCUAAUAGUGGUAUCAGAGCCAUGAUUUCAAUUAGACAUAUUUAAUCUGAUUUUAAUCUUAGAUCUAAAAGUUAGUUUCUAAUUUAAAUAAUUUAUUUUAGUUUUAUUCAGAUCUGAGAUUAUUAAAUCAUGUAUGAGAUGCAUAGAUCUGUAUUCCUUAUGCGUAGUAUUCAGAUUGGAUUGAUCUCUAUGGUCAUUCGAUCAUAAGAGACAUAUUU